rnacentral:misc_RNA from 1 species
GCAGAGUUCUAACUCUCUAAAACCACUGCGAACCGACCACUGAACCAGUUGCUUCGGCGGUGCUGCAGGGCCCCCUAGCUGGCCGCCCGCGAACCCGAGGCACCGCAAACUCUUGUUUGUUACAGGCCUCUCUGAGUUACUACUUCAAUAAGUCA